rnacentral:rRNA from 1 species
UACGUAGGGGGCAAGCGUUGUCCGGAAUUAUUGGGCGUAAAGAGCGUGUAGGCGGCCAGAUAAGUCCGCUGUGAAAUCUCGAGGCUCAACUUCGAGCUGUCGGUGGAAACUAUCUGGCUAGAGUCCGGAAGAGGAGAAUGGAAUUCCUGGUGUAGCGGUGAAAUGCGCAGAUAUCAGGAAGAACACCCGUGGCGAAGGCGGUUCUCUGGGACGGGAAUGACGCUGAGACGCGAAAGCGUGGGGAGCGAACAGG